GAUAAACGCUAGCGGCAGGCUUAACACAUGCAAGUCGAGGGGCAGCAUAGAUUGUAGCAAUACAAUUGGUGGCGACCGGCGCACGGGUGCGUAACGCGUAUGCAACCUACCCGUCACAGGGGGAUAAUCCGGAGAAAUCUGGUCUAAUACCCCAUAACAUCUGGAUCGGCAUCGGUUCAUGUUGAAAUUUUCGGAGGUGACGGAUGGGCAUGCGUAGCAUUAGCUUGUUGGUGAGGUAACGGCUCACCAAGGCGACGAUGCUUAGGGGGACUGAGAGGUUUUCCCCCCACACUGGUACUGAGACACGGACCAGACUCCUACGGGAGGCAGCAGUGAGGAAUAUUGGUCAAUGGGCGCAAGCCUGAACCAGCCAUGCCGCGUGCAGGAUGACGGCUCUAUGAGUUGUAAACUGCUUUUGUACGAGGGUAAAGUGGGUUACGUGUAACCUUUUGGAAGUAUCGUACGAAUAAGGAUCGGCUAACUCCGUGCCAGCCGCCGCGGUAA
rnacentral:rRNA from 1 species